GAUGAACGCUGGCGGCGUGCCUAAUACAUGCAAGUCGAGCGAACAGACGAGGAGCUUGCUCCUCUGACGUUAGCGGCGGACGGGUGAGUAACACGUGGAUAACCUACCUAUAAGACUGGGAUAACUUCGGGAAACCGGAGCUAAUACCGGAUAAUAUAUUGAACCGCAUGGUUCAAUAGUGAAAGACGGUUUUGCUGUCACUUAUAGAUGGAUCCGCGCCGCAUUAGCUAGUUGGUAAGGUAACGGCUUACCAAGGCGACGAUGCGUAGCCGACCUGAGAGGGUGAUCCGCCACCCUGGAACCUAGGCAAGGUCCAGCCUCCUACGGGAGGGCGCCGUAGGGAAUCUUCCGCAAUGGGCGAAAGCCUGACGGAGCAACGCCGCGUGAGUGAUGAAGGUCUUCGGAUCGUAAAACUCUGUUAUUAGGGAAGAACAAAUGUGUAAGUAACUAUGCACGUCUUGACGGUACCUAAUCAGAAAGCCACGGCUAACUACGUG
rnacentral:rRNA from 1 species